rnacentral:rRNA from 1 species
UACGUAGGGUGCAAGCGUUGUCCGGAAUUAUUGGGCGUAAAGAGCUCGUAGGCGGUUUGUUGCGUCGGCUGUGAAAUCCCGAGGCUCAACCUCGGGUCUGCAGUCGAUACGAGCAAACUAGAGUGUUGCAGGGGAGACUGGAAUUCCUGGUGUAGCGGUGAAAUGCGCAGAUAUCAGGAGGAGCACCGGUGGCGAAGGCGGGUCUCUGGGCCGUAACUGACGCUGAGGAGCGAAAGCGUGGGGAGCGAACAGG